rnacentral:rRNA from 1 species
GGGUGUGGAAGCGCAGUAAUGCGUUAAGCUAACCAGUACUAAUUGCCCGUAAGGCUUGAUCCUAUAACC